AGCAGCCGCGGUAAUUCCAGCUCCAAUAGCGUAUAUUAAAGUUGUUGCAGUUAAAAAGCUCGUAGUUGAAUUUUAGGCCUGACCGGACGGUCCGUCUUUGGCGAGUACUGUUCUGUUGUCGGGUCUAUCCUUCUGGUGAGCCGGUAUGUCCUUUAUUGGGUGUGUCGGGGAACCAGGACCAUUACCUUGAAAAAAUUAGAGUGUUUAAAGCGGGCUUUUGCUUGAAUAGAUUAGCAUGGAAUAAUAGAAUAGGACGUUGGUUCUAUUUUGUUGGUCUAGGACCACCGUAAUGAUUAAUAGGGAUAGUUGGGGGCAUUAGUAUUCAAUUGUCAGAGGUGAAAUUCUUGGAUUUAUUGAAGACUAACUACUGCGAAAGCAUUUGCCAAGGAUGUUUUCAUUAAUCAAGAACGAAAGUUAGGGGAUCGAAGACGAUCAGAUACCGUCGUAGUCUUAACCAUAAACUAUGCCGACUAGGAAUCGGGCGACGUUAUUUUCAUGACUCG
rnacentral:rRNA from 1 species